rnacentral:rRNA from 1 species
UACGUAGGUGACAAGCGUUGUCCGGAUUUACUGGGCGUAAAGAGCGCGCAGGCGGUCGUUCAAGUCGCGUGUGAAAGCCCCCGGCUCAACUGGGGAGGGUCACGCGAUACUGAUCGACUCGAAGGCAGGAGAGGGUAGUGGAAUUCCCGGUGUAGUGGUGAAAUGCGUAGAUAUCGGGAGGAACACCAGUGGCGAAGGCGGCAUCCUGGACCAACACUGACGCUGAGUGAGCGAAAGCCAGGGGAGCAAACGGG